GGAUCUAGUGGUCGAGUUGGAGAAGGGCGGCGUGUUGAAGGAUGUUAGACCUUGAAAUCGGUGUUCUCUCGUGUACUCCCACUGGACUCGCUGUCGCCGAGGUCUUUUUGUAAGGUUGACGAGAGGAGAUUUUUCUUCUUUUCACUCGUCCAUUCUUGGGAUAGCGUCUAUCAGUUUUUGGUGGGUUUUGAGUGGUGAGCAGAAGUGUGUAAGAAACCGUAGGUAUUCUAAUUUUGUCCAGGGCUAAGCCGAUGGCUUCUUCAAUGUAAAGAUGAGAUUACUGUAUAGCUCGAUUCUUGGGGGAUCGGUUGGAGCGAUAAUUAUGCGGCUUAAGCAGCUGUUUCACCCAAUGUGCUAAAUUCUAAUGUCCCAUGUCUCAUGUCAUGAGCAUGUGACCUUUGCAAAUUGAGAGAUCUUCUUGAGUGAUUUGUCGUUCAGCAAUUACAUUCAAAUGGUUAUCUUGUGUGGUUAUUUAGAAAACAGCUUUUUGGGGCUUCGCCCAUGUAGAGCAUGUCUUUUGGAAUAUGUGGUUCUUUUCUUGGAGAAUUUGGUAGUUUAAUGUAUCAAUACAAGAUUCGUUUUCAAAUCAUAAUGGCCGGCAGCAAUUGAGGG
rnacentral:lncRNA from 1 species